UCUAUAAUAAUUUAUUAAUACAGAUAUUCAACGAAAAAGAGGGAGAUCGAUCAAGGGUAAGUUCAAAAAGAGCCUUAAUUUGGUAGAGAAUUUAAUUAACUAACCGUUAAUUGGCGAGAAUACUGUUGAAUAAGAAGUUGUGCAUACUGGUCUGGAGAAUAUUUGAGGCUUGUUGUGGGAUAGAAUGAUGGGAGAAAGUAAUUGUUAAUGUAAUCGUUACUUCCCAUACCAACUGUAUAUAUGCAUUUCCUUAGGUGCUCCUUUGAUUUUCUUCUUCCUAGUAAGGAUAUAAUACUUGAAACUGAGGUUUUAUGAUUUCCCAAUUGCCUAUCCAAGCUGAUCCGACCACCCUGCAUGUGAGGAAACAACAAGAAGCGUAGGCAACAUUUUUUUGUUUACUGUUCUUUAUUUUUUAUGUCCUUAGCUGGCUACUAGAAUUAAUGUUCAAUGGCACUUGUUAAGGUUACAAUAAAUACUUGUUACUGUUAUGCACUAGGCAAUUGUGCUUUUAUUUAAACAAGAAAAAUGAUAGUACUCCACCACAGACUUUUUGUACCAACUUUUCAGCUGACUAGAUACAUAACAAAUUGAAUACUCAUAAUUCACUCCUUUGAGGAUUUCCUGGCCUUUAGCAGUUGCGAACGGGGGAAUGUAAUUCUCAAAACCCAAAAAUUCAGCUGUAAAUUAGUAAGUUUCAUCAAUCAGCAUAAUAAUUCACAAGUAAUACUACUACCAUGUCCAAAAUUAAAAUAAAAAGAAGUAGCACUACAAUAUUUCUAUAUAUGCAAUUGGCAAAAGAAAAUUUAAGAGCAACCUAUGAAAUCCGCGAUAUUUCGACCAUCGGUGAAUCUACCAGUUGGCCCUUUAGGAAAAUCAAUCCCAUAAGGAUAGAAAUCAACCUUGGCUUUACUAUCAAGCCCGUUAUUAUUUCCGUUAUCGAAUAACGAGUCGCCAAAAAUGAAGUAACAAGGGACGUUUUGUUCAUUAUAAACACAUUUUACCAAGUUUAAACUGAAUGAAAUUAUCAACACCAAGCACAAAAUCUUAAUUUCACAUGCCAUUUGAGAAUAAAUUAAAGAGAUAGUAGAGCUAGAAGAAUAAGAUAUUGAAAAAAGAGAAAGCCAUAACAUAUAUAUAUAUAUAUAUAUAUAUAUAUAUAUAGCUCAGCUUUCUCCGACAAACCAAAAGAAGCGAACUAAGAAUGAAUCGGCUAUAGCGACGGUUUUUUUCGCCGCUAUAGCAUAAAAACCCAACUUUCUAUACUAUAGCGACGAAAAAACUCGUCAUUAUAGAUGGUUCUUAGUUCGCUCUCCUAAUUCACUGAAGAAGCGGACUAUAUAUAUAUAUAUAUAGGGGUUCCAUCCACAACAACCGGUGGAGCAACCCCUUUUUUGGCCUGUUGAAAUUUCGGCUGAAGAAAAAAAAAAUUCAACAGGCCAAAAAAAUAGUUGCUCCACAGCAACCGGUUGCUGUGGAUGGAACCCCAUAUAUAUAUAUAUAUAUGUGUGUGUGUGUGUGUGUGUGUGUGGUACGUCCAAUUUAUUCUUACAUUUUUUUGGUGGUACAUACAUCAAAUGUGGAUACAAGUUUGACAGCAAACUCGUGUUUGUUUGAUUCGAUCAAUCAUUCAUGUUGUUGUUCUAUCAGCAUUUAUGAAGCUAUAUACUAGCUAGGGUACUCCAAAACUUUGUGGGGGUACGUAUAUAUAUUUAUAUAAUGUUUGACGAUGAUUGUUAUGGGUUAUCCUUUUAGCCAAGUGUAGAUUUCUCAACUACUUAUGUUUACCUGAUUUUAAUAUAUAGAUUGUUUGUAUAGAACAACAUAAAACUAAAAUUUUAUUUAAAUAAAUUUGUUAAAUGUUGUCUAAUCUAAUUAUCUAUUGGUUUCCCUUUUAACUGCGUUAUGCUUCUUAGGGAUAUUUUCCUUGCUAAACGACGGAUGCCUUGCUUGUUUUUCCUUUUUUAUAAAUUAAUUAAUUAAAAAAACAUUUAACUGUAUUAAAAAAUUUCAUUUUGAGGAAAAUUAAUUCCUAUAUAUUUUCUGAUUACAAAACAAACCUUUAAUUGCUCCCGUGAUACAUAUUUUGGCCACUAGUUACCUACUUGAUCUUAAAGGACAAAAAUGUCAGCAAGUUUUGUGGAGAUUACGGGGAACGACGUACCAUAGCAACUGCAGUGGGACAUUAAAUGUUGGGACACCAGUCUGUAACAUUGAACAUGAUAUAUCUUUUCUAUUUAUUUAUUAAAAAAAAAACAAUUCAUUCUAAUAAUGGACACCUAACAAUCUGUAUCCGAAUUAAAAAAUGAAAAUAACACAUUUAAGUUUAAACUUUUCAAUAUGUGGAAGAAUUAAAGAAAAUAAAAUUAAGCUUGCAUUUCACUUUUAUUACUCGUUUUCUAAUCUCUCCCUAGCUAGGAAUUAGUUACAAGAUUAAAGGUCAAGAAUUAAUCAAGCUUGAACACCUAAUUAUUAGAUUAAUAUACAAAAAUGAGUUUGAUAAUAAAUAUCGCUCUUCAAAACAACACACUUUUAAUAAUUCUCAAAACGACGUGCUCCGUGCCCGAGUCAAGUCAGGCCGAUCGGCGGCACGAGUUCAAACCUAGUCUUGGCUAGGUCCUCUCCCUUCUACAAAAGUGGGGUGCCUCUUGGAGCCCAAACCCAAGAGCAUUUUCCUUGUAUAUAAACAUAUUAAAAUUUUAAUUCCUAACCUAUGUGAGACUUGAUUUUUUCCACAUGUAUUUAUUAUUUUCCAAGUGUGAUCUUUGAGAGUUAAUAUCUCAUUCAUUACUCCAUGGAUUUGAGCUUCCAAAUACUUAAUUUAAUCUACUCAUGGAGUAGAACACAAUAAUAUAUGGAAUCAUUAAAAAUAAUUAAUGACACCCACAUUAAUUUAGGCUCAAAUUCCAACAAUCCCCCACAUGAAUGAUAUUGACUGUCAGCCUUAUGCAAAUGUUAUGCAGACUCUGAGAGAGAGACAUAAUUAGAAAUCAUCUAUAUCAAGAGUGGUAGCUUUUGGCUUUCAACCUUCCCUUAUGAAAAACUAUCGGGUUUACUGGUUGUCCAGUGAACGUGAUGUCUUGAACUGUCCAAUUGUUUGUAUAAAUCGAGACAAUAGUAAUUCACACAGAAUUUUUCUAGACAUUAUUUGGUUCUCAUGAUUUUGUUCAUUUAAUUUGUCCCCAAACAAUUCCGGAUUUAUGAGUUCUUUAGAGAAGUAUAGCAUUAUCCUUCUCAUAGAAUUGGCCCAGUUCACACUCACAUAGGUGAUUCUUAAUAAGAGUAUCAUGUCAUACUCCACAUGUUUAUCGAGAUUUAAGAAUCAUUAAAAGCAUAGCUUAUCCUGUAACCACUGCAGGUAUCACUAUCUCGUAUCAUAGGAAUGAGCAGAAGAAAUUAAUUUCUUCAUAGUGAUUUGGUUGAAUCAUUAACAAUUUAGUCGUCCCUUUAAACCUAGAUCUUGGGAUCUCUAGUCAACUAGGUUGGGUUUCCAUCAUGACGAUCCUUGUUUAUAGGCUUUAAACUCAUUCCCCUCGAACUUAUUUUUACUUGUUCUCUAGUCAAACCUUUAGUCAACAGAUCCGUUAUAUUUUCUUUCGACUUUAUGUACUCAAUAGACAUAAUGCCGUUAGAGAGCAAUUGUUUUAUGGUAUUAUGUCUACGACGAAUAUGUCUAGACUUAACAUUAUACAUGUGACUCUAUGCCCUUCCAAUUGCUGAUUGAUUAUCACAAUGGAUACAAAUAGGCGGCACAGGUUUAGUCCACAUAAGAAUAUCUUCUAAAAAGUUACGAAGCCAUUCAUCUUCUUCUCCAGCCUUAUCCAAUGCAAUAAACUCAGAUUCCAUCUUUGAUCGAGCAAUGCAUGUUUGUUUAGAAGAUUUCCAUGAUACUGCUCCUCCACCUAGUGUAAAUACAAAACUACUAGUGGAUUUAGAGUAUUUUGUAUUCGAUAUCCAAUUUGCAACACAGUAUCCUUCAAGUACUGCUGGAUAUCUUGAGUAGUGCAAUCCAAAAUUUUGAGUAUAUUUUAAAUACCUUAAAACUCUUAUAAUUGCUUUCCAGUGAUCUUGUCCUGGAUUGCUUGUAAAUCUACUCAAUUUAUUGACAGUUUGUGCUAUGUCAGGACGUGUAUAAUUCAUUAAGUACAUAAGGCUUCCAAUUAUUUGUGCAUACUCAGGUUGUGAUACGAUCUCUCCUUUAUUUUUAGACAAGUGUAGAUUUAUAUCUACCGAUUUCUUGAGUAUUUUCUCAAUAUAGUGUGAUUGUGAUAACACUAAUCCAUCCGAUGUUUUAGAAAUUUUAAUUCCUAAUAUUACAUUUGCAAUUAACACCCAUGUCUUUCAUGUCAAAUAAAUUAUUUAACAUUCUUUUAGUAGUUUUAAUGAUAUCAUUAUUACUACCCAUAAUGAGCAUAUCAUCUACAUAAAGACAAAUAAUAACAUACCCAUUCUUAGUGUCAUUGACAAACACACAUUUGUCACACUCAUUUAUUUUGAAACCAUUUGAUAACAUUGCAUUAUCAAAUUUUUCAUGUCAUUGUUUAGGUGUUUGUUUUAAUCCAUAAAGAGACUUUACAAACCGACAACUUUCUUUUCUUGUCCUAAAAUAAUAAAUCCUUCUGGUUGUUCCUUGUAGAUUUCUUCUUCUAAAUCUCCAUUCAAGAAAGUUGUUUUUACAUUCAUUUGAUAUAUUUCUAAAUUAUAUAGCUGCAAUGGCUAUUAACAUCCUAAUCGAGGAUAUUCUUGUCACAGGAGAAUAAGUAUCAAAAUAAUCUAAACCCUCCUUUUGCCUGUAUCCUUUGAUUACAAGUCUUGUUUUAUAUUUGUCGGGUUAAAUGCUUUCUAAAUCACUGUACUAUAGGUCGACUUACAAAUGGGUCACUGAAUUUUUUUUUCUUACAAUCAACUCACUGAACUUUAGUUUAUUAACACAAAGUUACAAAAACUAUUAAGUCAAGGUUGACUUAACGAAAUUGAUGAUGUGGUAGUUGACUUGUCUAAAAAUAACCUAUGUGGCAGUUAGUAUGCGACGUGGCAGUGAAGAUGUGGAUUUGGAGGAAAAUUUUUAUGAAAAAAUUAAAAAAAAAAUUAAGUAUAAUAUAAAUUAUAAAAAUUAGCCAAAAAAACAAGAAAAUAAAUAAAUAAAUAAAAUUAUUUUUAAUAAAAAUUAAAAAAACACAAUUUUUUAUUUUUUAUUAAAAAAAUUAAAACGCAUUUUUUUAAUAAAAAUAAUUGUUUUUUUUAUUUAUUAAAAUAAAAUUAAAACUACAGUUUUUUUAAUAAAAAUAAAUACAAUAACAUAUGUCAAUUAAUCAAACAAAAAGAUAGUAAAAUUCAAAAAAAAUACAUCAUUUUACCAAAAAACAACAUAUAUCAUUUAUUUUAAAUAAAAUAACAUACGUCAAUUAAUCAAACAAAAAGAUAAUAAAAUUCAAAAAAUAAAAAAAUACAUCAUUUUACCAAAAAACAACAUAUAUCAUUUAAUCAAAACAACAAAAGAAAUACUAAAAUUCAAAAUCAAAACACGUAAUAGAUUUACAAAAGUAAUCCCGACCCUCGUCCAAAUGUGCUGCAGAUACCUUUCAAGUUUCUCCCAUUUAUCCAUCACAAAUAAAAAUAUUCAUUUUUAUUAAAUUCAGAUCUAGAUCCAUCUAGAUUUACAUGUGCUCUGACUUGAUUUCAUUCAGAAAUUCUUCGCGGAGAGGGGCGAUAGAGGCAGAGGUCGAGGUGGGGGUGGUGAAUCUGAGUUGAGGUUUGGAUUUGGGUGGAGAAUCUAGGUUGGGGUUUGGAUUUGGUUCUAUCCCGCCUCGCUUUUCUGGACUUGAGCGAUUUGAGUUGAGGUUUGGAUUUGGUUUGGGGUUUGGAUUUGUUUCUAUCCCGUCUCGCUUUUAUGAACUUGAGAAUCUGAGUUGAUGGUUGGAUUUGGCUGAAUAUUUUGGGUAGAGGUUUGGAUUUCUGCACAAAAGAAUCUCGAUUUUUUAUACUUGAGUGAUAACAAACUCAAAUGAAAGAUUCCCACUUUGGAUUGCAGAGAUGGAAGUUGGGAGUAUACAAGCUUACUAGUUCUAUCCGGUCUCAUCUUUUUCAAUCUUUGAGUUCAAAUGCCUUCAAGUGAAUUUUAUUUUAUUUAGUUAAUUAUUACGUGUAUUAGUAAUUUAUUACUAAUCAUCUCAAACAUCAUAGUUCUUGACUCUUGACCUUGUUCUGGAAACGUCUUCAAAUCACUGAUUGAUUGAUUUAUUUAUUAAUAAAAAUAAAUAAAAAUAAAUAUUUUUGAUAAAAGUAAAUAAUUUUUUUUUCUUUUAUUAAAAAAUGUUGUUUUUUAAAAAAAAUUGCAUUUUUAAUAUUAAAAAAACUACAUUUUUUUAUUUUUAUUAAAAAAAUUGCAUUUUUUUUUAUUAAAAAUAUUUAUUUUUAUUAAAAAAAACUGUAGUUUAAAUUUUUUUUAAUAAAAAUAAAAAAAAACCAAUUAUUUUUAUUUAAAAAAAUGCGUUUUAAUUUUUUUAAUAAAAAAUAAAAAAAAACUACAUUUUUAAUUUUUAUUAAAAAUAAUUUUUUUUAUUUUUUUAUUUAUUUUCUUAUUUUUUGGCUAAUUUUUAUAAUUUAUAUUAUACUUUAAAAUAUUUUUUUCUAUUUUUUCAUAAAAAAAUUUCUCCAAAUCUACAUAUUCACUGUCACAUCGCAUACUAACUGCCACAUAGGCUUUUUUUUAGACAAGUCAGCUGUCACAUCAUCAAUUCCGUUAAGUCAGCCUUGACUUAACGGUUUUUGUAACUUUGUGUUAGUAAACUAAAGUUCAGUGAGUUGACUGUAAAAAAAAAAGUUCAGUGACCCAUUUGUAAGUCGACCUAUAGUUCAGUGACUUAGAAAACAUUUAACCCUAUAUUUGUCUAUAGAUCCAUCUGUUUUCAUUUUUUUCUUGAAUAUCCACUUGUAUCCAAGAAGUUUAGAGCCUGGUGGGAGAUCUAUUAAUUCCCACGUAUGAUUAUGCAAAAUGGAUUCUACUUCACUAUUUAUAGCCUCUUUUCAAUAUGGAGUUUCAGGACUCGAUAUUGCUUCUUUAUAGGUUUGAGACUCAUUUUCUAACAUAUAGGUUAGAAAAUCUGAACCAAAAGAUUUUGAUGUUCUAGCACGUUUACUACGUCUAGGUUCAUCAAUAUCUUCUAAACCAUGAUUAUUGUCAUUAACAACAUCAUAAGUUCUUUUAUUUGAAUUUGUUUCUUGUUCGUUAGAACUUGGCUCUUAUUCCUUUUUAUUAGAAAAUACUGUUUCAAAGAAUUCAACAUCUUUUGAUUCAAUAAUCAUAUUUUCAUGAAUUUUCUCUAUUUUUUAUUUAUUAACCAAAAAUCUAUAUGCACUACUAUUAUUAGCAUAACCAAUGAAUAUACAAUCUAUUUUUUUCGAUCCUAUUUUCACCGUUUUGGGUGGAGGAACCAUUACUUUUUCUAAACACCCCCACACUUUUAAGUGUUUAUAAGAUGGCGUACGUCCUUUCCAUAAUUCAUAGGGUGUAACAUUAGACUUCUUUUGAUGUAUUCGGUUGAGAAUAUAAUAUGCUGAAAGAAUUGUUUCCCCCACAAAUUCUGAGGUAGCCCAGAACUUAAUAACAAUGCAUUCAUCAUUUCUUUUAAAGUUCUAUUCUUUCUUUCUGCAACAUCAUUUUGUUGUGGUGAAUAAGGUGCAGUUGUUUGGUGUAUUAUACCAUGUUGUGAACAAAUUUCAACAAAUAGAAAUUCAUAUUCCCCACCUCUAUCACUUCUAACUAUCUUGAUCUUUUUAUUAAGUUGAUUCUCAACCUCAUUUUUGUAAUGUUUAAACAUUUCCAAAACCUCAUCUUUACUUCUCAAUAAGUAAACAUAACAAUAUCUUGUACAAUCAUCUAUAAAAGUGAUAAAGUAUUUCCUGCCUCCUCUUGUCUGUAUAUACUUUAAAUCACAAAUAUCAAUGUGUAUUAAUUCAAGAGGUUUUGUACUUUUUUCAAUUGAUUUAAAAGAAGAUUUUCUAAGUUUUGUCUCAACGCAAAUUUCAUAUUUAUGAUUAGAGUUAAUCUCACAUUUUGGCAAAUAUUCCAUAUUAAUUAAUCUACGUAUAGUAUUAUAAUUAACAUGUCCUAAUCUACCAUGCCAUAAAUUAGAUGACUCAAUCAUAUAAGUAGAAGAUGUAAUUUUAUUAAUAUUGGAAUGUACAACAGUCAUUACAUUCAUUUUGAAAAGCACAUUGCUCAUAUAACUCUUCCCCACAUACAUUCCAUUUUUAGUUAAUACAAAUUUGUCUGAUAUAAAGACUAAUUUAAAUCUCUUUUGACUAACACUAAAUUUUUCCUAAUAACAGGCACGUGGAGCACGUUGUUGAGGGUGAGUUCUUUGCCAGAUGUCAUCUUCAGAAUCACAUUUCCUUGUCCAGCAAUCUUGGAUGAAGAAGAAUUUUUCAUGUAUAGAUGUUCUUCGUUCUCAAUUUCUUGAUAUGUAGAGAACAUCUUUCUGUCGGAACACACGUGGCGGGUUGCUCCAGUAUCUACUCACCAUUCUCUUGGAUUCUCAAUCAUAUUUAUUUCUGAAACAACCGCUUCUGAAACAACCGCUGAAAGGUUCAUUUCAGAAAUAUUUUGAGGAAGACUAUCCACUUUCGUUACAUUGGCUUGUGCAUGAUACAAUAUUAGCAAAUUGUCUCCCAAACUUAUAAAGCUGUGCAAAUCCAAACUUAUAAAGCUGUAACUAAUAUUGGAUUUGUUUCAACAAAACACUGUUUAGCUUCAUUGCUUUCCCGGAGGAAAUAUUUGUAAAGUAAUUAUAAAUAACCUUAGUUAUCAACUUGAUAUAUUAAAUGAAAAAAUUAAUGCAUGUGAUAUAAAUGGAGCCCUUUAUUGUUAUAAAUUUUACUCAUUAAAGGGAACUAAGAGAUUCAUCCCCAUCUUCAGGUAGUCCCAUAAUAUCAGUGGGAUACUUGUAAAAUGGAGAUAAAGCUGUGAAUGCUGUAGAUGCAAGGAUCUUCAUUGCAGGCUCAGUUGGGUGAAAUCCAUCCCAAAAUUCGUACUCGUUCCUGUUUGUGCAUGGAGCUAAUCCAAUAAUACAUAGUCCCUUAUCUUCGAGACCAGAUACUAUAUUGCAGCAUGGUUUGUUUGCUACCUUAAAACCUGAUAUAUAUAUAUAUAUAUAUAUAUAUAUAUAUAUAUAUAUAUAUAUAUAUAUAUAUCAUGGCAAUCAUUAAUUAUAAACUACCAUGCUAAAUCUAAAAUAUGGCAAGAAGUGAUCAUUCACAUGUACUAGUCAUCUAUGUUACUUGUCUAUUUCAAUUUUGAGAAACAUCAUGUUAAUAUCUUCUUCUUCUUCUUUUGGGCAUUUAUGGACAGAAUAAGUCACAUGACUCAAAAUAAAAUUAAGAUUUAAUUUAAAUCAUUUAAGAGAGUAUAUAUCAUUUAUAUUGGCUCCAUUUUUUUCUCGAUCUCUUUUUUCCUUCAUCACGCAUUACUCAUGUGCUUAUAAUUUUCUACAGUUUUCAAUAUAUUUAAGAGUAAAAUUACCCAAUAACAUCACUCCAAUCUAUUAUUACACAUUGGUAGCUGAAAAAUUUUACUUGUAAAAUUUAAGGACGUUAAAGUUCAAUAUUUUAAAAUUGAAAUAUUUGAAUUUAAGUUCUAAAAGUAUUAGAAGUCAAUGUAACACAAUUCUUGAUGAUAAAGAGUGAAAUUAAGUACUCUUACCAGCUUCUGAUGAAUUUUUGUUAGAAUUUGGGGAUAUGUAGAUAAAGUUUGCAUCGAUUAACUUGUUAUUGAGGACUUCAAUUAGCCGAAUAAGCCUGUCAUUGAAUAGGGUGACCGCGUUACCAAUCAUCUCCACACAAGCAGUUCCAUUUGUGCCAUAGGUGUUCAAUUCAGAGGGAAUGCAACCUAAUUCACCAACUCCAAAUACUCCCACCUUCCUUGCUCCAUAGGUGUACAAAGUCUAGUUUAUAUUCAACAAAAAGACAGAAAUAGCUUAAUUUGAAAAUCCUCAAAAAUGUACGGCAGGGUAUAUUAAUUUGAAACUUUCGAACUCAAGUUAAAAUAAAGGAAAGGUAAAGAAAAUGAAAUCUAUAAUUAAUUUAUCCAUAAUCUAUAAAUUUCCUAAAUUUAGCAUACCCUAGUAUUUCUUUGUUAUUUUAUCUGUAAUUGCACAAAUAUUAAUAUUCUAAUUUAAUAUUGGAUGGUCAAAUAUUAUAUUAAUUUGUAUUAUAUUAUUCAUAUAAUUGAUUCAAUAAAAAUUCUUCUAUAAACUUAGUUUUUUUUUUGCAUUUAGAUUCUAAGAUAAAUCUUAAAUAGUACUCCCUUUGUUCUAAAAUUAUAGAUAUAUUUUUUUUGUCAUUUUCUAAAAUUAGAUAUGCAUUUCUAUUUUAAGACUAUAAAGUGACAUGAUAUUCCUAAUUUGCUAUUACUUUCUUACUUUCAUUUUCAAUAUCAAACUACCACAACUAAAUUCCUAAUUGAUACUGAGGCUAGGCUAUAUUUGAGAACAAGGAAUUAUCCUUAAAAGUUGUUGUUUUACAAGUAUAUUCCUAAUUUUCUAAUUUUGGAUAAUAUAAUCCUAUAUAAAACUCACCUAGUAUACAGCGUUAUAGUCUAUGUAACGUUUAUCGGUUUCACGAACCAACGAAACUAAAAUGAAUCGUGUUUUAGGAGACACUAGUAUCAACUAUAUGAAAUUUAUAUAAAUUACUAUUGGGAGAUGGUAAAAUUUAAGGAAUUAAAGAGAAUGAAGCUAGAGAUCGAUCGAUAAAUUAGAAUUCUAGACUGACUGACUGACCAUUAGCUGCUGAGAGUAGUGUUUAAUAAGAAGUGCAGCGUACUGAUCCGGAGUAAAUUGAUGGCUUGACUCAUAGAAUGAUGGGAGAAAGUAGUUGUUAAUAUAAUCGUUGUUUCCCAUACCAACUGUAUAUAUGCAUUUCCUUAGGUGAUCCUUUGAUUUUCUAUUUCCUAGCAAGGCAGCAAUCCGUAAAAUGGUAGUUCUGUGAAAUUGUAACUGCAUAUUAAAGCUGAACCGAUCACCCUGCAGUGAGAAACAAGAAUUAAUAAGUUUGUGCAUUUCAUUAUUUGAUCAACAUCCUGUUUAAUAUAGUUUUGGGAGAGGAGAGAGAAAAGAGAGAAUGAC
rnacentral:lncRNA from 1 species